rnacentral:lncRNA from 1 species
GACGUCUACGGCCAACAGUCUACAAAAGACCGGCUCUUAAAAAGGAACUGUCCUAUGACCUACAAGUCAGACACGUUCUCCAAUCCUUAUGACUUCACAUCUGCAACUCCUUAAUAGUCAACCAAAGUUAUCUGACCGCUCCAUCCACCAGGAACCUGAAAUUUUAAUCCCACAACCGGGAUGAGACAAUGUCUCAGCAAGUUCAACCCCCUAAACCCCUAUUAGAAAGAAAAUACGCCCAAGGGUGACCUAGCCACAUCACACAGAGAACUUACCUCGCCUCAGUUCCUUCCUGCAGGUUAGCACAAUUCAAAUCACCCAAUCACAGAUAGUAAUAAGAACUCAAACAAUUGGAAUGCCAUCACUUUCAUAUAAUCACAAUCGCACUUAGCACGCAUUCCAAUUAUUAUUCACUGCCACACAAGGGCAUAGCCUACUCGCAGUUCGGCUAUCUACUGGCAUAUAGCCAGGCAUCGCCUCCCCCCAUGGAGCGCGGCUUCGUCAGUACGUCGACGGCAUUCCCAAAGGAGCAUGGGCCCAGAAUCAACUGCGACCCGCAUCCACCGCGUGGACAUCCCAUAUAGGGGCAAGUCCGGCUCAACAGCUCAGGACGAUUCCUCUUAGUUAUCACACAGCCAAAGCAUACUCGACCCCGGGACACUUUGCAUUUAACUCAACGCUUCCAUUUAAAAUAGUGAUCCCGGCCAUUUUUCAUCGUAUUAAAAAUAUUCCAUAAAUUACUCACGUGUGUGGGGACACGCUAAUUUCGAAUCAAAAAGCCAAUAUCUCACUUUUUCAAACCCCACUAUUUAAUAUAAUAAUUAAAAUCCAAUUUUUGCAUCAAAGCCCGAUACUUAGGUUUUUAUGAAUAAAAUUCAUAUUUAUCACAAUCAACACUCAAAUUGCCACAUCCAUUCAUCAUAUUCAAAUCCUAAAUGCACAGCAGUGAUCAGCACGAAAUUAUGAGAAUUUAAGGUCCCAAAAUAAUUUUUCGGAUUAUUAAAUAAUUAAAUUUAUUCCGAAAAUUAAUUAAAUUAUAAUAUUUUAAUAAUUUCGAAUAACGAUAUAUUAUUGAAUUAUUAAAUAAUUUCGAAUAACGAUAUAUUAUUGAAUUAUUAAAUAAUUUCGAAAUAUUUAAAGAAAUCAAAAGUAAAUUCCUUUAUGUCACAUCAAGAUUUAUAUUAAUGUAAACAUUCACUUAACCUUAAUUUAAUCACACUUUAAGCUAAUUAAACACAUUAAUAUAAUCCACACUUAAAUAAAUUAAACUAAUCACCUAAUCACAAUUAACAUAAACUAAGCACACCUAAAGCAUAAUUAACCCUCUAAGCGAGGUUUAGUGAGUUAAACUCACAGGAUUAGCGAGCCGAGCGAACCAAAACGACGGGGACGCCGAGGAGAACAACUUUCCUCAAAGCGGGCCGAGCAUCCGGGCUCGGGAAGGCGGCCAAAACGGGCCAAACGUCCGCUGCAUACCCAUUUUUUUCCAGCCACUGAUUUGUGUCCGAGAAGGGCGGAGGAACGGCGGAGAGGGACGGCGGUAGCUCGGGCGGUGCAGGCGGCGGCUCCGACGAGACUCCCGGCGACCCUAGCGACGGCGACGGCGGCUGAACAGAGGGGAUGGAGCUCGAGGUCGAGCGAGCAAGGCGGAGCGGCGUGCAGGCGCGAGGGCUUCGCG